rnacentral:rRNA from 1 species
GCACAAGCAGCGGAGCGUGUGGUUUAAUUCGUUGCUACACGAAGAACUUACCUGGGUUUGACAUAUAGGUUGUAGGGAACGUGAAAAGGGACCGACCCUUCGGGGAGCCUAUACAGGUGUUGCAUGGCUGUCGUCAGCUCGUGUCGUGAGAUGUUCGGUUAAGUCCGCUAACGAGCGCAACCCUCGUCGUAUGUUAUAUGUGUCAUACGAGACUGCCGGUAAAAGCCGGAGGAAGGUGAGGAUGAUGUCAAGUCAGCAUGACCUUUAUAUCCAGGGCUACACACACGCUACAAUGGUCUGUACAAUGGGUAGCCAAGCCGCGAGGCGGAGCCAAUCCUGAAAGCAGGCCUCAGUUCAGAUUGCAGUCUGCAACUCGACUGCAUGAAGCCGGAGUUGCUAGUAACCGCAGGUCAGCAAUACUGCGGUGAAUACGUUCCCGGGUCUU